AGGAUUGUGCAAACCCAGUGCGGAUGCUCCCAGGAGUUAUUUUUUCCUUAAUUUGCUCUAUUAAUAGCCACGGAGAAGUUGGAAAUGCCUAUGACAAAGGCCAUGGCUGCAGAUUCCUGUUUCCAGGCCAGGAGUGGGUAGUUCGGGGUAACCCACUCCUGACGUAACCCACCCCUGACGUAAGGCUCCCAGGAAGAGCCCCCGGCCGCCGGGAGUUCCCGAGCUGGCACCCAGCGCUGAUAAGAGCAGGACCCAGGUCCAGCAAAGGACAGAAGCCCUGGCGCCUGCCGACAGCCUCAGACCCUUGCUGCCAGCCAUGAGGGUCAGCCCUUCCCCUCCUCAGUGUGGCCACCCACGCAAGCCAGGGCUCGCUUCACCUUCAUUCCUCACCAGUGAAACCUCAACGAUGAAAGCAGGCACGAACAGUGGGCUUGUUGUCCACCUUGUCUGCUUCCAUGGGUAGAGACCACAGUCCAGCUGGGAGAUCCAGGAUCGAGACCUCGCUGACGCUUCCCCUUUCUCCAUUACACCAUUUCCCCCACCCACCAGAGGAAGCCCCCGCGGCGAGGUGGGAGCCCAGCCACCCGUCCUGCUCGGGAAGGAAGCAGGAGGGAGACAGCCGGCAGGUUGGCGAGAGUCGGCAGCAACCUUAUCUGCUUCCCAGCUGGGGUGGGACACUUCUGCCGGCAAGGAAGAGGAGCUCUGCUCUUCCACUUCUCGGAGUAGUGUUUCAUGGUUGGGAGGUACCAAAUAACUCCCGUAAAAUACUGUCCCGGCCAUGCUCUGCUUCACACUGCUGACGGGACAGGAACUUUGGUAUUUCUGCAAAAUCCUUACUGUCUGUCUUGUCCAAAACAAUGAAAUAAACAAUGCCAAGUCCA